rnacentral:rRNA from 1 species
GAUAGGUGGGAGGCUUUGAAGCGUGGACGCCAGUCUGCGUGGAGCCAACCUUGAAAUACCACCCUUUAAUGUUUGAUGUUCUAACGUUGGCCCCUUACCGGGGUUGCGGACAGUGUCUGGUGGGUAGUUUGACUGGGGCGGUCUCCUCCCAAAGCGUAACGGAGGAGCACGAAGGUUAGCUAAUCCUGGUCGGACAUCAGGAGGUUAGUGCAAUGGCAUAAGCUAGCUUGACUGCGAGCGUGACGGCGCGAGCAGGUGCGAAAGCAGGUCAUAGUGAUCCGGUGGUUCUGAAUGGAAGGGCCAUCGCUCAACGGAUAAAAGGUACUCCGGGGAUAACAGGCUGAUACCGCCCAAGAGUUCAUAUCGACGGCGGUGUUUGGCACCUCGAUGUCGGCUCAUCACAUCCUGGGGCUGAAGUAGGUCCCAAGGGUAUGGCUGUUCGCCAUUUAAAGUGGUACGCGAGCUGGGUUUAGAACGUCGUGAGACAGUUCGGUCCCUAUCUGCCGUGGGCGCUGGAGAAUUGAGGGGGGCUGCUCCUAGUACGAGAGGACCGGAGUGGACGCAUCACUGGUGUUCGGGUUGUCAUGCCAAUGGCACUGCCCGGUAGCUAAAUGCGGAAGAGAUAAGUGCUGAAAGCAUCUAAGCACGAAACUUGCCCCGAGAUGAGUUCUCCCUGAGACUUUAAGUCUCCUGAAGGAACGUUGAAGACGACGACGUUGAUAGGCCGGGUGUGUAAGCGCAGCGAUGCGUUGAGCUAACCGGUACUAAUGAACCGUGAGGCUUAACCUUACAACGCCGAAG